rnacentral:rRNA from 1 species
AUUGAACGCUGGCGGCAUGCCUUACACAUGCAAGUCGAACGGUAACGCGGGGCAACCUGGCGACGAGUGGCGAACGGGUGAGUAAUACAUCGGAACGUGCCCAGUAGUGGGGGAUAGCCCGGCGAAAGCCGGAUUAAUACCGCAUACGACCUACGGGUGAAAGCGGGGGAUCGCAAGACCUCGCGCCAUUGGAGCGGCCGAUGUCAGAUUAGCGAGUUGGUGGGGUAAAGGCCUACCAAGGCGACGAUCUGUAGCUGGUCUGAGAGGACGACCAGCCACACUGGGACUGAGACACGGCCCAGACUCCUACGGGAGGCAGCAGUGGGGAAUUUUGGACAAUGGGGGCAACCCUGAUCCAGCCAUGCCGCGUGCGGGAAGAAGGCCUUCGGGUUGUAAACCGCUUUUGUCGGGGAAGAAACGGUCUGCGCUAAUACCGCGGGCUAAUGACGGUACCCGAAGAAUAAGCACCGGCUAACUACGUGCCAGCCGCCGCAGUAAGAC